GACGAACGCUGGCGGCGUGCCUAACACAUGCAAGUCGAGCGGGAUCCAUCCGGUGGCAACACCGGUGAAGAUCUAGCGGCGAACGGGUGAGUAACACGUGAGAAACCUGCCCCGAACUUCGGGAUAACACGGGGAAACCCGUGCUAAUACCGAAUACCCUCUACCGGUCGCAUGGCCGGAAGCGGAAAGAUUCAUCGGUUCGGGAGGGUCUCGCGGCCUAUCAGCUAGUUGGCGGGGUAACGGCCCACCAAGGCAUCGACGGGUAGCUGGUCUGAGAGGACGAUCAGCCACACUGGGACUGAGACACGGCCCAGACUCCUACGGGAGGCAGCAGUGGGGAAUCUUGCGCAAUGGGCGAAAGCCUGACGCAGCAACGCCGCGUGCGGGAUGAAGGCCUUCGGGUUGUAAACCGCUUUCAGCAGGGAAGAAAAUGACGGUACCUGCAGAAGAAGCCCCGGCCAACUACGUGCCAGCCGCCGCGGUAA
rnacentral:rRNA from 1 species